rnacentral:misc_RNA from 1 species
GAUGAAGAACGCAGCGAAAUGCGAUACUUGGUGUGAAUUGCAGAAUCCCGUGAACCAUCGAGUCUUUGAACGCAAGUUGCGCCCGAAGCCACUAGGCCGAGGGCACGCCUGCCUGGGCGUCACACGCCGUUGCCCCCCCAUCUACUCCUUCGGGAUUGCGGGGGGGCGGAUGAUGGCCUCCCGUGCGCCUAGCCGCGCGGUUGGCAUAAAUACCAAGUCCUCGGCGACGCACGCCACGACAAUCGGUGGUUGCGAAACCUCGGUUGCCCGUCGUGUGCGUUCGUCGCGCAUCGAGGGCUCGAAAAAAUGCUCGGCUCCGGCUGGGCUUUCAACGCGACCCCAGGUCAGGCGGGGUUACCCGCUGAAUUUAAGCAUAUCAAUAAGCGGAGA